GGGAAGAACUGUAGCUCAGUGGAAGAGCAUCUGCCUUCCAUGCAGAAGGUCCCAAGUUCAAUCCUUGGCAUCCCCA